AAGAAAUGUGUCACCAACGGCAGAUCACCUCUUUCUUCUCCAAAUCACCCUCUUCAACAUCCUCUCAUCCUCCUUCUCACUCACCAUCCUCUAUUUCUAACCCUAAACCUACAAAAAUGGCCCCUGCCACAUUCUUCUUCUACCUUCAACAAAACAUGGCUCCUUCUCUUUCUUUAUCUCCUGUCUCUGUGUCUCUCUCUCUCUGUGUUUCUCUGGGAUGAACGAGGAAGUCGAAGACGACGGCGGCGAAGACAUCGCUCCCGCCAUCGCACCUCGCGUUCGAAUCCAUCAUUGGGAAACCCUAGGGUUCCGACGAUUGUUGUGACCAAGAACCAGGCGCCGGCAAAAAUAGAAACAGAACCCCUAGGGUUUCGACGAAGACGAACUCCGGCAGUCGGAUUCUGGCCGUCACGGUGAUUUGGAUUCGGUCUGAGAUAACCCCCAGCAGAUUAGCGUCGUCUAGGGCCAGUGAACGGCGGCGAUUCAGUUGUUAAUUUGACCGGUUCCGACGAUUAGGUGAGUGUUUGCCCAGAAUCCGGUCACUACAGAACUCAGAACCGACGAGUAAGAAGUUGGAUUGUUGAUGGUAGAGCUAUUGCUAGAAAGGUUAAAACCUGUAGUGUGCCUUUGGUAAAUCAACUCAAAGACUGUGGAGCAAUCUAUCAACAAGCAAAUGGCUGUGUUGUUUUGUAAAUGUUUGUUAAGGCUUUGCAACCCAGGGGGUGUAGGUUCAAAUUCCAAUAUUCCAUCCACCUCUGUUUUUUUCUUUAAUAUUUAUCUUCUAAUUUCUGGGUUAA